UUGGGGAAUCUCAAUUGGGAGUGAAGAGGAGCGACCCUUUUUAUGGAGUCUACAUGGAUAUGCCCUUGAUCGCUCUCCAAAGCUGCAUUGGGAAGUGGUUAAGACGUACCUGAAGGUGUCCUUUUCUCUAAGGCCAACUAGAGGCUGCUGUGUCGUUCCCCAAACCGCAGGUAAACACACUGAAAAGCUGGACACUAAGGAGAAGAAACAAGGAGCCAAGGAGGCGGUGCCGUAAGACUGCUUUGGAAGGGUAACCCUACAGUUAAGAAGCCAAGAAGGUACAGCCUCCAGCUGAAGCCCUGCCUCUGUCAGGGAAUUGGCAGACAUGCCUGAAAAGCCAUGUAUUCCAGGCCUUGUGCAGGAGAAAUUACUUCGCAGCCAAA